UGCGCAGGCGGUUGUAUAAGUCAGAUGUGAAAUCCCCGGGCUUAACCUGGGAACUGCAUUUGAGACUGUACGGCUAGAGUGUAGCAGAGGGGGGUGGAAUUCCACGUGUAGCAGUGAAAUGCGUAGAGAUGUGGAGGAACACCGAUGGCGAAGGCAGCCCCCUGGGCUACUACUGACGCUCAUGCACGAAAGCGUGGGGAGCAAACA
rnacentral:rRNA from 1 species